CGUCAUGUUCAUUGAUCGGCCUAUCACUGGGCAGGGGGAUGUAUAAAUUUGACUGCGAAGCAGUAUGGUGUUAUGCGUUACGCCCCCUUUCUGCGUCAUCUCGAGUCGCCGGUCAGAGUUGUUAUUUGGACACACCUUGCGACUGGAGCUUGGUUGACGUGUUCCCUCUCGACAGGUAAGUGAAACCGCUAUAAUGCGUUUUCGUGUAAAGACUGCAUGUGUAAUUAGAAUGCGUCUGUUUGUGUAUAGUUUGAAGUGAGUCUGCGGGAGACUUUAACAGUGCCGACCGUUGCCAGAUGUUACCCGGUGCCGUUGUGUGCUGUGAGAUCUCUCUAUGUAAGUGAGCCCACGGGUGCACAGAGUGCUGUGUACGUGAUUUGUGGGGAGAUCGCACACAUACGGUACGUGGUUUUAGAGUUUUAACCGUGCAAUAGUUCCAAAUGGUAGGCUGUAUGAUACUGUUAAUUCUAUUAUAGAUCGUGUUGUCUCGUAUCAGCGGCUCCUGUUCCCUGUACACGCUAAUCCCAGAUUGACAGAACGAGCCUGCAGCUUUCUGCCUUAUCCUUGUAUUAUCUGUGUUUCCGGAUCGUUCAUUCAACCGGAGCUGAGUGCCGAAGGCGGGGUGGAUUUUGGUGGUGGUAUUGCUUCACGAGUGCUGUGCUGUGUGCAGUGGUGUGUGUGUGUGAGUGAGUGUUUCCACACAGGUGUAACCAAAAUUGUGCGGUGCUGUGGAGGCCUAUUAGUGCCCUUAUUCCCUGCUGUCACGCCUCGGCUCCUGCUUUUACAUCUAUAGAGGUAUCUGAGGAUGGAGGUCACUCGUAGUACUUCUUAUUGAAUUGAUUGUGUGAUUUUAUUGUGUGCAUCAUACUCUUUUAUAUUUAAUAAAAUUUCGUACUUAUCUUACCCACGUCUUCUGCCGAUUCUUUAGUACAGGAACCUGUGUUGCCUAAGUGCAAGUUAUUAUCUCUGGCCAAGUGCCAGUGUGGCGUAGUCGCUACAUAUAUUCUAUCAGCCCUCUGUGUGUCAUGCCACAUUCUGGCGUAGUCGGCAGGAUUGUGCUUAUCUAGGCGAAG